rnacentral:rRNA from 1 species
AACGAACGCUGGCGGCAUGCCUAACACAUGCAAGUCGAACGAGACCUUCGGGUCUAGUGGCGCACGGGUGCGUAACGCGUGGGAACCUGCCCUUAGGUUCGGAAUAACUCCCCGAAAGGGGUGCUAAUACCGGAUAAUGUCUUCGGACCAAAGAUUUAUCGCCUCUGGAUGAGCCCGCGUUGGAUUAGCUAGUUGGUAGGGUAAAGGCCUACCAAGGCGACGAUCCAUAGCUGGUCUGAGAGGAUGAUCAGCCACACUGGGACUGAGACACGGCCCAGACUCCUACGGGAGGCAGCAGUGGGGAAUAUUGGACAAUGGGCGAAAGCCUGAUCCAGCAAUGCCGCGUGAGUGAUGAAGGCCUUAGGGUUGUAAAGCUCUUUUACCCGGGAUGAUAAUGACAGUACCAGGAGAAUAAGCUCCGGCUAACUCCGUG